ensembl:snoRNA small nucleolar RNA SNORD113/SNORD114 family
UGGAUCAGUGAUGAGGACCCUGGGCUGUCUGAAUGGAGGGCGUUGACUAAGCCUGUCACUCAGAGGUCCAU